CUCUCCAUCACCCAAACCAAAACUUAUCUUGUUCUCCACCUCUUUUUUACUUUCUUCUGAACAGAAAUCUUGGAAAUCAAAAUCUAUGUCCCUCUCCCUCAGCCAAAACUCGUGAACCAAUAUUAUCCUCAGCUAAACCUAGAUCUGUUAAAAUCAAAACUAUCUUUUGUAGACAUAAAUCAAACUCAAUUUGCUAUAAAUCAAAACCCAUCAGAAAUCAAACCUAAUUUUACUUACCAAAAUUUCAUUUUAAACAAACUCAAUUUUCUAUAAAUCAAAACCCGUCAGAAAUCAAACUUAAUUUCACUUACCCAAAUUUCGCUUUAAACCCUAAAUAUGUGAUUUUUGCUUAAAUGAAAUGCGUUUACCGGUGAAACCCUUAUUUCAUUGUAAUUGAUUUUGUGAGUCAAGUUUAUUUUGCAUAGUUGAAUACCAACCUCGAUGAAAACUCUCUGAUCUGAAAUUUUAUUUAUGUGAAUCUUAUUUUACAUCACGAAAAAUAUGAAGAAGAGUGAUGGCGAUAAAGAUUUGGUGGUGACGAUGGUGAAAUUUGGUGGCAAGACCAUAUAUGAACGCUGGUGAGGAAUGGUAGAGAUAAUGCAUAGAACUGUUGGUGUUUGGAGCAACAGAAGAUGAAAUGGGUUUUGCAGUUUUAGUCUGAAGUUGAAGUUACAGGUUCAGGAGAUGGAUUUGGUUACUGCUAAUGGGUGGAUGAGAUAUGUACUGAAAUGGCAGUUCAUGGUGGUGAUUGUUUCUUGAGGAAUUUGAGAUGGAGAUGGAACUGCUAGUGUUGAUGAGAUGGUUUGUUUUUGAAGCUGUAUGUGGAUAAGAUGCAGAGAGACAGUGGGUUAUAUUUUUGCUGAUGCUUAGAGCUUGUGCUGAUGUAGUGGAUGUAUGAGAUGAAGAUGGUUGAGCAGCAGAGAGGCCUUGAAAUGUGUUGUGCUUGAAUCUUGUUGUUAUCAACAGAAUGGACUGUCUUGGUGAUGUGUAAACAAGGAAGAAGAACAAAUCUGGUGUUGAAGUUGAAUGAAUGGGUUGAGCUGAUGUUGAGGAAUGAGCUGAAUUGUAGAUGGUUGGUGGUUUGGUAUUGCAGGAAUGGAGUUGUGUGGUUCAAUGGCCUUGUACUUCGCAGAAGCAAUUUCAGGAGCUGGAUGCUAGGGUCAGGAAGCUACAUCAAGUGUAGAUGAUGUUUCUGAACAAGAAAUUGUCAUGGACUUUAGAACUCAGGUUAUUAGCAUCGUGACCUGAUAAAUUUACCACUACACUAAGGUGACAUCCGCAACUUUGUGAAAUUUUCGUUGCAGGUGAUCGAGCCGUUUGUAACGUUGCUCCAUUUCGACUUACCCACUGCUCUGCAAACUCAAUACAGAGGAUUCCUCGAUAAAAAAAUAGUGUACAUAUAUAUAUAUAACCUCGCUCAAAUCGUUGAUCUUUUGUUUUGUUUAGAAUCACAUUUUAUAGUCGAAGAACCUCAACUGAUAGUUUUAUGAAUUUAUCAUAGGGAUGAUUUCAGAGACUUUGCAGAUCUUUGUUUCAAGAACUUCGGAGAUGAAGUUAAACAUUGGACAACAAUUAAUGAGCCACAACUCUUUGCAAUGUAUGGUUACCGUGUUAGUCUUUCUCCGACUGGUGAUAAAGUCAACGAUCCAUAUGAUGCUGCCCAUAACAUCAUCUUAUCCCAUGCUGCAGCUGCUAAACUCUAUAAACAAAUAUAUCAGGCUGCACAAGAAGGAGAAAUUGGUAUUUCUAUCGUGGGUCAAUGGUUUGUGUCGCACUCGGACUCACCCCGUGAUAAAGAAGCAGCAGAAAGGGCUAAUGGCUUCAUGGUUGGAUGGUUCAUGGAACCAUUGGUCUAUGGAGAUUACCCUUUUAUAAUGAGAGCAUUAGUGAGGGAUAAUCUUUCCAUGUUUACAGACAAAGAGAAAGAAAUGGUGAAGGGUUCUUAUGAUUUUAUUGGUGUAAAUUAUUACACUGCUAGAUACGCCAAAGACAUUCCUUUUACCAGUGAGCAUAAGUUCACCUCCACAGACAAAUACCAGUUUGUAGCACAGAAAGAGGAAAAAAAUGGAGUUCCUAUAUAUGCCCAUUGUCUCCUACUGGUGGUCCGGAGAGCAUUUACAUUUAUCCGGUGGGACUAAGAGACGUCCUGGUUUAUAUGAAAGAAAGAUAUGAAAAUCCUAAGUUCUACGUUACUGAGAACGGCUGAUGGUUAUCAAAGAACAGGUUGCUUCAAUUUUCUUUGCCAGGGUUUCAUACAAGUGCUCUCUAGUAUAUCAUUUGGUGAUCCAUUAGAUCCAAUAAAUUUAUUGAUGCGUGUUAAAGUAUAUCGUGAACAAAAAAGUGUUAAUCGGUGGUUAUCCAUUGACCGCGAAAUGAUAGGGUACUGGCCAAAUGAGCUCUUUACUCAUCUAGCACAUGAUGCUUCUGUUGUCAGAUACGGCGGAAUAGCGGGGGCAGUAUUCAGAAGCCCAAGUGAUCCAAUGGGAAAUGGAAAUUUACCAUCGUUUAGUAUCCAACAGUCUGGAUGGAUGAAGGAAAUGAAGGUCUACAACGAAUCAGGAUUCCACGUUUUCUUUGAUUUUUAUUUAUAAAGUAUACAAGAAACAAUAUACACCAGCGGAUUGUUUUAACCUUAAUAGAUCUUACCUCUGUUUCUUUAUUAGUGCCCUCCGCUGAAGGUCAAUCACUUGCUGACGAGUAUUCCAGAAGUGCUCAAUACCUUGCGUAUUUUGGUGGAAAAGUUGGGUUACGGUAUGCUGAGAGUUGUGCUCGUGGUGGGAUCUGCUACUUAAACAGCAGCAUGGUAAGUUGGUUGACAAAGAAAAUCGGCCAACGGAGGGUCCUGUCAUUAUAGGUGUAACUUCAGGUGCUUCUACCCAAGAUAAAAAAAGAUGCUGCGAAGCUGGUAAUUUAUGGAUGGAUUGGUCAAUUACAUCAUGUCAUUGUGCCUAGAUGCAGCAAAAGAAUCGAGGUACCUUGUAGAUGCUAGUUGAAACUUGGGAAAGUCCUGUAGUGUGCCAACAUACACACUCCCACUAUUUUCUUGUUGCUCUAAUCCUUAAAGCUAGGACUAAGCUAGUAUUUGGAGUAACAACUGGAAACAAUAGCUUCAUAGCAAUAUAUUUCUUAUGUUCGAAAUGGAAUUUCAUUGCAUUUUUUUCAAACUUAGUUUAUCUUGUUGUAAGGAUUAGUGAUGAUCUGAUAAAAUUGGGUCUUUUAGUUGAUCAACAAAGGUAUAUGAAGGUGCAGAAAUCCGCCGGAACUGUCGUCGGAAUUUAUUUAUUUUUUAUUCGGAAUUAUCAUCGGAUUUUAUUUUA